UACGUAGGUUGCAAGCGUUAUCCGGAGUUACUGGGCGUAAAGUGUCGGUAGCCUGAUAAGUAAGUCUGUUUUUAAAUACUCCGACUCAAUCGGAGAAAGGGAACAGAUACUGCUUAUCUAGAGGUUUUUGGAGGUUAGUGGAAUUUCCAGUGGAGGGGUGAAAUCUGUUGAUAUUGGAAGGAAUGCCGAAAGCGAAAGCAGCUAACUACAAUUAUCCUGACGGUGUGCGACGAAAGCUUGGGUAGCAAACGGG
rnacentral:rRNA from 1 species